CUCCCACUCCGUAGGUUGUUGUUUUGUAUUGUUUAGGGUUUCCUUUGCUGUGCAAAAGCUUGUAAGUUUAAUUAGGUCUCAUUUGUUUAUUUUUGCUUUUAUUUCUAUUGCCUGGGUAGACUGCCGUAGGAAAACAUUGCCGAGAUGUAUGUGAGAUAAUGUGUUAGUAAUAUAUUUUCUUUUAGG